UGAGGAAUAUUGGUCAAUGGGCGGGAGCCUGAACCAGCCCAGUCGCGUGAAGGAAGAAGGAUCUAUGGUUCGUAAACUUCCUUUGCAGGGGAAUAAAGUGCGGGACGUGUCCUGUUUUGUAUGUACCCUGAGAAUAAGGAUCGGCUAACUCCGUGCCAGCAGCCGCGGUAAUACGGAGGAUCCGAGCGUUAUCCGGAUUUAUCGGGUUUACAGGGUGCGUAGGUGGUUUGAUAAGUCAGCGGUGAAAGUUUGCAGCUUAACUGUAACAAGGCCGUUGAAGCUGUCGGACUUGAGUGUAAAUGAGGUAGGCGGAAUGCGUGGUGUAGCGGUGAAAUGCCUAGAUAUCACGCAGAACUCCGAUUGCGAGGGCAGCUUACUAAGCUACGACUGACACUGGAGCACGAAAGCGUGGGGAGCAAACAG
rnacentral:rRNA from 1 species